GACGAACGCUGGCGGCGUGCCUAAUACAUGCAAGUCGAACGCAAGGAUACACACUGUGCUUGCACACCGUGUUUUCCUGAGUCGCGUACGGGUGAUUCACGCUUACCUCACCUGCCGAUUAGCUGCGGGUAACUAGUGUUAACGCUACCUAAUACCGUAUAAUAUUAAUUAUUGCAUGAUAAACGACUGAAAGUUGCAAGCGCAUCACCAGUAGAUUAGCUAGGUGUGUGUUAGCUAGUUGGCAAAGGAAGAGCUUACCAAGGCGACAAUACAUAGCCGACCUGGGAGGGUGGUCGGCCAACCUGGGAAUGAGACCCGGGCCACACUCCUGCGGGAGGCAGCAGUAGGGAGUCUUCGGGAAUGGACGAAAGUCUGACCGAGCAACGCCGCGUGAGUGAAGAAGGUUGUCGGAUCGUAAAGCUGUGUUGUGCUUCGAGAACGUGUUUGAGAGUGGAAAGUUCACGCAUUGACGGUAGCUGACCAGAAAGCGACGGCUAACUACGUG
rnacentral:rRNA from 1 species